rnacentral:lncRNA from 1 species
UACGGAGUUAAAAAUUUUAUUAUCGAAUAAUCCAUUUAACUUGAAUUCCUGAUCUAAAAAAUAUUUAUAAUACUGCUACUUUGCUUUGAAACACUUAUUGCCAUUAACAAUUAAUUGCAUUUAAUUAAUUUAUGAUAUAUAUUUUAAAAAAAUUGAACCAACAAUAAUAUCCUUUAUUUUUUACCUUAUUAUUAAAUUAGUGUUUAAAAAUAUUUAUAAUUUAAAAAUAAUUCGUGAAAAUUUUAUUGUUUCUAAAAAUAGAAUUAUAAAAUGAAUAAAAGUAUAAGCAGAUUUGUAAUACCCAAUUAUUGCCCGGGGCCCAAAAUCCUAAAGCCCAAUGAACCAAUGAACCAAUGAACCAAACCCUAACCCACUAGCCCAAAAUAUUGAACAGGAGCAGAAAAUUGGAACCCUAGUAGCAGUUUUUUUUCCCUUCCUCGGCGCCGCAGAUCGCACCGCUCGUCCACACGUCUCUCGCCCAUCCGCACGUCACACGCUGCGCACGUUCUCUUCCAGUAUGCACCUGCAAUGAACCACCAACAACGGUAAUAGAAGGGAGCACUAGAAUAACAGAGAAAAGGGCAAAAGAGAAAAGGGGGGGGGGAAUAGUUUUCGGUAAUAUUUGGGGGCGAUAUAAAAACCAAUUACAGCAUUUGUAAUGGGGGGUUAGACGAUCCUUGUAUUGAAAAUACUGAAAUACGAAAAUAAAGAAAAAAUUUGAGAGGUGAUUAAUUUGCUCCGUUUUUUCUUUUUCUUUUUGCAGUUUUUUUUUCCUUCAUUUGUUUUCUGGCUUGUUUCUUAAAAUAAAUAAAUGAAAAAAGAAUAGAGGAGGUUCUUACCAGCAGAGGCGCGCCGUCGGCAUCGUCUCGUUUUGUCCAAAUCGAAGUUAAAGGGGAGGGGGGUUUUGGCGUGAAGAGUUGGGAAGAAAUGAAACAGUUUUUGCGGCUAUUGCUGCUGCAGAAUAGCGUUUAAAUUUGAGAUUGAAAAGGGUUUUAAGCACUGAUGGGGUAUUUGCGAUUUUAAUCCUUCCAUUUUAUCCCAUCAUUUCAAAAUCAUUGUUGUUUGUUUUCAAAGUUUUCCAUGA